AAGGAAUUCCACUGUCUCUUCAUAAACACGCCUUUAUCACACAUCCUUGCUUUCCAACUCAUACCUAUAAUCAAUAUCAAUGUCAUCUUAGAAUUUGAGAAAUUAAAGAUCUCAUUUAUCAAAACUUUUGUAGAAAAGAUAUCAUGAUAAUAUCUCACUGAUGAGAAAACAAUCAAAAGAAUCUUUAGUUGAAGAGAGGUAUUGCCAAGGUCUUCUCAGAUUUUCGCU
rnacentral:lncRNA from 1 species